AGCACCUGCGAUGGGCUCAGCAUGUUGAAAUAGAAAAGAUUUUGCAGGUAAUCUCAGUAUGUACAGUCCCGUAUCCCGAACUAUCGGGAUUUAAAGAGUUC
rnacentral:sRNA from 1 species